rnacentral:rRNA from 1 species
AUUGAACGCUGGCGGCAUGCCUUACACAUGCAAGUCGAACGGCAGCACGAGGGGUAACCCCUGGUGGCGAGUGGCGAACGGGUGAGUAAUAUAUCGGAACGUGUCCUGUAGCGGGGGAUAACCUAUCGAAAGAUGGACUAAUACCGCAUACGACCUACGGGUGAAAGCGGAGGACCGCAAGGCUUCGCACUAUAGGAGCGGCCGAUAUCGGAUUAGCUAGUUGGCGGGGUAACGGCCCACCAAGGCGACGAUCCGUAGCUGGUCUGAGAGGACGAUCAGCCACACUGGAACUGAGACACGGUCCAGACUCCUACGGGAGGCAGCAGUGGGGAAUUUUGGACAAUGGGCGCAAGCCUGAUCCAGCCAUGCCGCGUGAGUGAAGAAGGCCUUCGGGUUGUAAAGCUCUUUCGGCGGGGACGAAACGGUUCGUGCUAAUACCACGGACUACUGACGGUACCCGCAGAAGAAGCACCGGCUAACUACGUG